rnacentral:rRNA from 1 species
AGCACACAAGGAGUGGAGCCUGCGGCUAAUUUGACUCAACACGGGAAAACUCACGRGUACAAGAGAGGGGUACGAAGCCCGGCAUAUAUUGCCCGGCUUGAUUCCCUCAGUGGUGGUGCAUGGUCGUUCUUAGUUCGUGGAGUGAUCUGUCMGGUCUAUUCCGUUAACGAGCGAGAACUCCCCCUCUGUUGGUUGCCGGGCUGUGCGCCUGGCCGUGUCCUCGGCUGCGUGCGGACAUCGGUGCUCCCUCCGGGGGGUGCCCCUAAGUCGGCGCGGCCUUGGGCUAGGCCUCUUUUUAGUGCGCCGGCUGCGGGCCCCACAGGGUGUACCGGCGAAAGCCGUACUUUGGGGUCAAUAACAGGUUGCAUAGUGGCCUGUAAAAUGGCAUAAAAGGUGACCACUAGUCGGUUCCUCUAAGGAGGAGCAGGCACACCUCAAAUUGCGGGGACGUCUGUAGCACUGUCUACUAACCAACGCCCAAAAUGGGGGAAAAAUCAGAGCUUGAUGUCCAGGGAUCCCUUCGGGGUGAUGGGCGGARCUGCYCUGCUUGGGGCCAAGGGUAAAUUGNNCUUGGAAAAUAAUAAAAACGSCAGNUAAUAGGGRAUAAWUCCCSNAGCCCAAGNCUNGUNUNAAAAAAGGCAUGGCAUCUGUACAAGGUGUGUGUCCGUAAGNAAGNAAUUAGGGGUAUCCAAUGUAAAGAUCCCGGGCUCCUUUUCUUAACCACGGGUGCUGUUCACAGACUAAAUGGUGGUGGGUCGGUGCUGGGUGGNYUGUGUACCUGCCCAGUACUGGCUUAAGAUAUAGUCGACCCCAUGRAGACAUGGCCUGUGGRAGGAGUGCUAGGGGUAACGCCUUGGCAGGAGAGCCCACGGGGUCUUGGCYUGGCUCCUUUACCGGAGCCUUGUUGAGGCGGAAUCAUCGCAGUGAUGCCCUUAGAUGUACUCGGCCGCACGCGCGCUACAAUGGGCCGGCCACCGGGUCUCUGCUCCGCAAGGAUGUGGGGAAUCCUGGGAAGCCGGCUCACAUCCGGGAUCGUGGCAUGUACUGUGCCGCGUGAACACGGAAUUUCUAGUAGGCGUGGUUCACCAGACCGCGCCGAUUCUGUCCCUGCUCUUUGUACACACCGCCCGUCGCUCCUACCGAUUGGGCUGCGGGGUGAAAUCGGGGGACCUCAAGAAUCCAGCUCUGCACCGGCGGGCCGCAGCCUCCGUGUGGGCAACCCCUUUGAACCUUGUGGCCUA